AUGAGGGACGAGAGGGAAGCCGCCGCCGCCGCCGCCUCCCGCCCCGGCCCCGGCCGAGCCCCGCAGCACUGCCAGCAGCCGGACGGCGGCGCGGAGAGCCUGCGGAACGGCUACGUGAGGAGCUGCGCGACCCCCCUGCGGCAGGACCCCCCGAGAAGCUUCCUUUCGCUGCUGCUGCUCCCCGCCGCCGCCUCCUCCUCCUCCUCCUCCUGCUGCCGGGCUCUGCUCAGCCUGGCCGCCCUGGCCGCCCUCGUGCUCUCGCUGCUGGCGCUCCCGGGCCGGGGCAGCGCAGGGGGCCAGCAGGACGGGAGCGGCUGGCGGAGCCCCCGGCCUCUGCACGCCUUGCUGAGCCUCUCCCGCUGCCUCAGCCCGCUCUUCAGCAUCGCCUGCGCCUUCUUCUUCCUCACCUGCCACCUAGCCCGCGGCGGAGCGACCCGCUGGUGGCUGCUGGCGCUUCCCGUGUGCUGCUACUCGGGGGACUUCGUGGCGCUGCAGUGGCUGCUGCCCCCCGCGGGGCGCCAAGAGGAGCCCCGAGCCCCCGGCGAGCCGCAGAUGGUGGCGGGCAGGCUGCUGACGGUGCUGGGCUCGGUGGCGGCGCUGACCCUGCUGCAGAGCUCCCUGAAGCUCCGCCGGAGCCUCCUCGUCUUGCUCUUCUCCAGCCUGGUGUGGCUGGUGUCGCUCGGCAGCCUCCACUCGCUGCCCCCGGCCCUCCGCCCGCUGCUGGCCGGCUCUGUCGGGGCGGCGGGCUGCCUCCUAGCCCUCUGCGGCGGCGAGCGCGGCGUCCUGGCGGCCCGGAGCCGGGCAGCGCAUCAGCAGCAUCACCACCACCCGCGGCUCCCCAGCGCGGAGGAAAAAGUGCCUGUGAUCAGACCCAGGAGGAGAUCGAGCUGCGUGUCCUUAGGGGAGACUUCGGCCAGCUACUACGGCAGCAGCAAAAUGUUUCGGAGACCCUCGCUGCCUUGCAUUUCCAGAGAGCAGAUGAUACUUUGGGAUUGGGAUUUGAAGCAAUGGUACAAGCCCUAUUACCAGAAUGUUGGCAGUGGAAAUGGAGUUGAUCUUUCAGUACUAAAUGAGGCUCGGAGCAUGCUAACAGACCUCCUGACUGACCCAUCCCUUCCAGCGCAAGUGAUUUCUUCCCUUCGAAGCAUUAAUAGUUUGAUUGGUGCAUUCUCAGCCACAUGCAGGCCAAAGGCCAAUCCGUUCACACCAUUUCCUGGUUUCUUCCCAUGUCCUGAAGUAGAAGAUCCUGCUGAAAAAGGAGACCGAAAGCUGUUCAAGGGAUUAAAUAGCAGGAAUAGCCUACCAACACCACAGCUGAGACGAGCUUCAGGAGUUUCUGGCAUUCCACCUAUAGAAUCGCAACCUUCUAGAUGGGAACGGAGUAACAGUAAGAGAUCUCAUCAGGAAUAUAACACAUCAAGCCAAGGAACCCAUUCAAAUGGGUCGUUUGGUGCAACCCUGCUGACAAUACCAAAACAAAGGUCAUCUUCAAUAACAUUGGGUCAUCAUAUAAGUUCCAGACGAACAAGUGCUUCUCCUGGCCUGAGUCCUGUGGGUUCACCUAGUCAUGGAUCUGUCUCCAGUGGGACCCUCAGCAGCUGGUCACCUGUAGAAUUUCCUGAUACUGCUGAUUUUCUUACAAAACCAAGCAUUAAUAUUUAUAAGCCUCCAGCAUACACAUUUAGUUCAUCAGAUUUUCAGCAGCAAGUUAAAACACCUAUAGGUCAUGUGUGUAGCAGCUGUGGAUGUCACAUACUCAAGGCUGUUCCAACACCAGAACAAGAAUUUGCAGAAUAUAAAGACAAAAAAUCAGGUGAAGCUGGAAGCACUAGUGUUCCAAAAGAAUCUUUCUACCAUACAGAGAAGACAAAAGAUGUAAAGAAGGAAAUAAUUAUUGAAACACAAAAUAGUCCACUUGUGGAGCAGAAUCCUACAUUAGAAACAAUGUUAAUAGAACAUGACUCACUAAUGGAGAAAAUGAACAAUUGGAACUUCCAAAUUUUUGACCUUGUACAGGAAAUGGGAGACCAAUCUGGAAGGAUUCUUAGCCAGGUAACUUAUACUUUGUUUCAAGACACUGGUUUGUUUGAGAUUUUCAAAAUCCCAGUUCAAGAAUUCAUGAAUUACUUCUGUGCGCUCGAAAAUGGCUACAGAGAUAUUCCCUAUCACAAUCGUAUACACGCCACGGAUGUUCUUCAUGCAGUAUGGUAUCUGACAACACGGCCCAUUCCUGGAUUUCAGCAAAUUCAUAACGAGCAUAUAAUGGAGAGUGAUAUGGACGAAGCUAGUGGUGUUGGCCCUGUUCAAGUCAACUAUAUUUCUUCAAAAACCUGUUCUGUUGCUGAUGAUAGUUAUGGGUGCCUGGCAUCAAACAUUCCUGCCUUGGAAUUGAUGGCUUUGUAUGUAGCAGCUGCCAUGCAUGAUUAUGAUCAUCCUGGUCGUACAAAUGCUUUUCUAGUAGCUACAAAUGCACCACAGGCUGUUCUCUACAAUGACAGAUCAGUCUUAGAAAAUCACCAUGCUGCUUCUGCCUGGAAUCUUUUCCUAUCACGACCAGAAUACAACUUCUUAUCAAAUCUUGAUCAUGUAGAAUUUAAGCGUUUUCGUUUCUUAGUGAUUGAAGCAAUCCUUGCCACAGAUCUCAAGAAACAUUUUGAUUUUCUUGCAGAAUUUAAUGCCAAGGUCAAUGAUAUCAACAGUCAUGGUAUAGAAUGGAGCAAUGAAAAUGAUCGCUUGCUUGUCUGUCAAAUAUGCAUCAAACUGGCAGAUAUUAAUGGCCCAGCAAAAGUUAGAGAGCUGCAUCUGAAAUGGACAGAAGGCAUUGUUAAUGAAUUUUAUGAACAGGGUGAUGAGGAAGCAAGUCUUGGAUUACCUAUAAGUCCCUUCAUGGAUCGCUCUUCUCCACAGCUUGCAAAACUGCAAGAAUCUUUCAUCACUCACAUAGUUGGCCCCCUUUGUAAUUCCUAUAACGCAGCUGGGUUGCUUCCAGGGCAAUGGGUUGAUGAAGAGGAGGAUGCAGAAAGUAAUGAAGAUGAUGAUGGAGCACAGUCGGAGAGUGAUGAUGAGGAAAUAGAAGACGAUCUUAUUUUAAAAGCUCAAAGAAGAAAAGGUAGACGACGAAUAUUUUGCCAGCUAAUACACCAUCUAAGUGAAAAUCACAAAAUAUGGAAGAAAGUGAUUGAAGAAGAAGAAAAAAAUAAAGCUGAAGGAGCUAAACUGCUGACUGAGAACUCAUCUUUACCUCAAGCAGAUGAAAUUCAGGUUAUUGAGGAAGCUGAUGAAGAAGAUGAACGACAGCUAGGAGAAGAAAAGACAUGCUGAGAAAACUUCAGUCAUGUCCAUUACGAGGAUAGAAAGCUGAUAUAUAUCUAUAUCUAUUUUCACUGUGUUGACUUUAGCCUAACACAGUUCACUUAAAAUUGAAAGGCCUUAAUACUGUGAGAGGAUUCUUUCUACUCCAGUGGAAUCCCUAUGCACUUUUGCCACACAGAAUACGAAACUUUAUUCAAAGAUUGAGUAUUGUAUACCCUGAUGCAAAGUUCUUUAUGCCUUAGUUGGUAUAAAAUAUUCUGAUAUAACGCUGCCUUGCUGAAAAAGGAACUCCUAUUUUCCUUGAGACAUAGCUUAUAUUGCCUCCAAGUGUGAUGUACAUCCUGAAAUAUACAUAUGGAAAGCAGAAUGUGAAAACUUCAUCUCUGGAGACCUCUGAAUGUCAUGGUGGUACUAAAUAACCAGAGUCAAAAUCAACUUGGAUCCUCUUCCCAUAAAUUAUUCACAGCACAUUCAGAUGGUGAGUCUAGGAUUCAAAAUGGAAGGACAGGUGUAACAUUACUUCAGGUAAGUUCAAGUUUACAAAGUUUGAGUAAAUCUCGAUUUGCUAUAUGCAUAAAACAAUUUUUUCUGUGUACUUCUUGCAUUCAACUUCCUAAAAAAAGGGAUCAACUGGAGGAGAGUUCUGUCAGGUAACAAAAGUAUAUUGUACUGAGAAAAAUAAUUUAUUUGCUCUUCUUUCAACCUCCCUUUUUAUUUUAAGUGAAAAGGAAGGGAAUAUUCUCAUAGGCAUUGAGACUGACAGACAUUUGUCUGUCAAACACAAACAAUGACAGGUGAAUCAACAAAAGGUGUUAGCAGGAUUUGAGAGCUCACUUCUAGCUCUGGUGCUUCCUCCUGGGUACUUAUAGAUGAAGGCUGGUUUAUGAUUCUUCUAAAAGUAUACAAAGAAUUUGAAGUAAACCAAUCGGGAACCGAAACUCCAGGGGCAGUACUUUCCCUUUUGUCCAAAAACGUUUGAAAAAAUGUGAGAGGUGCAGAAUUGAAGUGUCAUUUGCUGAUGAGUCUGAGAUCAGGAAUCCCAGCCUGUGGUACUUGAAUCACAGUAAAAGGAUAGAAUUAGCUUAGGUGAUGAAAAUUAGGAAAGGAGAAAUAGGCAUGACAUAAAUAUAAUUACACAUGCACAUGAUACAUUCUUAUAUGGAAGAGAGACAGAGUUUAUAAUUUCAAGUCAGUUCAUUGUCUUCAAAAAAAAAAAAUAUGGAAACAGGAUAUCUUUUGAUAUGUCAUGGUAAUUUUCAUUGUUAUUAAACAAUACAAAUCAUACUGCUAAUAAAAAUACAACUAUCAUAACUCAAAUGAUGCAAGUUUAAGAAAAUUGAUUUUUUCUGUGACAAAUAAAUGUUAAUAUGUUUAAAAAUGUGUAGACAAACAUGAACUUGAUCAAAUAAGGUAUAAAAAUAUGAUCAAGGCAGUGUUUUAUUUUAAUUAUUUUUAAUUUUAUUAUAUAUAUAAUUUUCCUACAGCUUUCCUCAGAAUUGGUUUUGGACAACUUGCUUCCUCAUGUCUGUGCAAAGGCAAAUGAGGUGAUCAAUUGCUUUCAUUUUUGCAUUGAGGAAUUUUCCUUCUGAUAUCUCCAGAAUUAAAACUUUAUCUUGCUAUGAUAAUCAUACUGUGACUUUUCAGAGAUGAAGCUGGCAAAAAAACACAAUUGUUAGUUAAGACUAGCUAUAUCUAUAUGUAUUUAAUAGAGUCACAAGCAAUUAAUAUAUAUUUUUUUCCUGUUAAAUGAGAAAAUAAUGGCUUGUAUUUCUGAGAAAACAGGAAGGAAAGUUUAUGGAAACAUAAACAAAAGCUAAGCUACUAUAGGAUAAACACUCCAGUGUACUUGAGUUGAAAGUUAUCCUCCUGACAUAGUAUAUAUACUCCGCACCCUUAUGAAUCCAGCAGAUGUAUAACCCUUAAAGACAUUUGCGUAUAUAUACGUAACUCUUAACAGAGCAAUCUGUCUUAAUGGUUUUGUUGUCCAUUUUUACUCUCAUUUCUCUAAGACACUUCUGGUUUGCACUUGAAAUAAUACUUCUGGUUGGUCUUUUGUUAUCUUUAAUACUCUAAAACAAUAGAGUAACUAGCAAUUGCUUGUUUUGUUAAUGACAGCAUUAAGCUAAAUAAAAUUGUCCCAGUAAAGAAAAAGCUGUUUUUCUUGGGUACUGAGAUUUAAAAGUCUGUCCAGAAAAUGACUAACUUUAAAUGCUAUGUUGUGAUAUAUGCAGAAUACUGAAUAAUGAAAGUUUAAUGCACCUAAGGGAUUGACACUUGGUUCUGUGUGAUACUACAACCACACUUUAAAAAAGGGUACGUCAUGAUCAGAAAUGUUUGACUGGAAGGCUUCUUUUGGAAUCUGUACACUAAGAGUCAUCUUUUGAUUUCUGUACUGCAAGAGAUCAUAGGUGAUAGCAACUGGUGUCUAUGAUAGGUUCUACUACCUGGCACAAUAUUACUAUCUGGCAGAACAUUAAUACGUGUGAAACCUAAGAGUUAAAAGCUUAUACAGAGCAGAAAUUUUGUCUUGUGGUUUGCCUGAGGUUUCAGAAAAAUAGAAAUAGAAAUGCUUAACAUUAAAAUAACAGAGCCUUUAAAUAAUGAGGUGGCAUAGUGUUUCAAAUGAUUCCUAUCAUUCACCUUGUGAUUUGUCCAUCUUAUAAGUACCUUGCCAAAAAACAGGUGAUGAUUCACUCCUGACUCAUCUCUCCAGAUCAGCAGAACCCUUUGCACCUUGGAUGAGAUCAAAGUCUUUUCAUUUUACUUAUAAAACAAGGACUAAUGCUCCGCUUAAGAUAUAUGUAUUAUACCAAAAAUCCAAAAGGUAAGCUUAAUAUUGCUUAUAGCAAGUGAGGAGCAGACUGCUUUCAAACUCAUUUGUCACCAUGCCAGUUAGCCGUGAAAACUUACUCCUGUGUGGUCAUUCUGACAGACUUCUGUGUCUUUUAUCAUGACAUAGAUCCUGCUAGUGUUAAUUAAUCUCUGUGGUAUUGUUCAUUUAUCUGAUUCAUAUGCUAACAAAGGUUCCUCUCAGAGAAGUGAAUAAAGAAGCACUCCUAUUUAUCUUCGA